GACGAACGCUGGCGGCGUGCUUAACACAUGCAAGUCGAACGGAAAGGCCCUGCUUUUGUGGGGUGCUCGAGUGGCGAACGGGUGAGUAACACGUGAGUAACCUGCCCUUGACUUUGGGAUAACUUCAGGAAACUGGGGCUAAUACCGGAUAGGAGCUCCUGCUGCAUGGUGGGGGUUGGAAAGUUUCGGCGGUUGGGGAUGGACUCGCGGCUUAUCAGCUUGUUGGUGGGGUAGUGGCUUACCAAGGCUUUGACGGGUAGCCGGCCUGAGAGGGUGACCGGCCACAUUGGGACUGAGAUACGGCCCAGACUCCGACGGGAGGCAGCAGUGGGGAAUAUUGCACAAUGGGCGGAAGCCUGAUGCAGCAACGCCGCGUGCGGGAUGACGGCCUUCGGGUUGUAAACCGCUUUCGCCUGUGACGAAGCGUGAGGGACGGUAAUGGGUAAAGAAGCACCGGCUAACUACGU
rnacentral:rRNA from 1 species